UCUGGUGAACAAAAGAGAGACAACUUAUCAAUCUUUGUUUACAGGCCUGUUUUUAGGCACGGACUGCCACGAGCUAGGAAGAGCAAUACAAUUAUUUUGAUAAAUCUUUCUCAUGCCCCAGUGGUUACUGUUAUCUACCUACUUUAGAAAUCCUGCUUCAUGAGACAGGCUGACGUACCCUCUACAAAGCUAGGCUGUAAUAACAGGCUAUAAUAACCACUAAUGGACCUCUACGUGAGACUUGGCCACAGGUGUCUUCUUUAUGACCCUUUUCUGGGAAGAAACUUGGUGGCCACCUACAUGAAUCACAAAACAUACAGUGACCCAAAACCUUUUCACAUUGUUGACAAAACAGUACUGUAUUUCUUGAGUUUGUGAAGCAAUGUGCUGCUGGCUUUACAUAGAGAGCAGCCAUGUGCAAUUUACAUAUGCCUCACAGUGGUUUGGUUCACUGCCUCCAGCUAGCCACAAGUCUUUUUUCUUUAGCCACGGUACUGUUACUGCCAAAAUAUUUAAUAUGAAGACCACUGAAUCUUUUGUGGCAAACAUAGCUAUCCCUGCCCCCCUCACACGCGGGUACCCGACACACACACACACACACACACACACACACACACACACACACACAGUUUUCAUUGCAGUCUCUGUGACUUUCUCGCUAGUCUUAGUGACUUUUCAGACCCUCUUAGCAACUUUAUAUCUAAAAAGCGCCUGGUGACAAAUCCAGAGAGUUAUUCAGACCAUCCGGGGGAAAAGUGAGAAAUAUACACAAAUCUAUUAUAUUCUAGGCUAAUUUCUUCCCCUGCAUGCUGCUCAGAGUAAUCUCAGUCAGCAGCUCUUCUGGCAGAAGCACAGCGUCUCUCCCUCUCCUCUCGCCGUGUGCACACAGGCAGGAGCGAGUGAGUUACUAUAGUUACAGGGACGCUCUGUGUCUUUGUCACUCUGAAACAACACAGCAGAACAAGGUGGAGUGGUAGGAAACAUAUGCCUACUUGCAGCAGAUAUAAAAAGUAUAUUCGUCACAGCGGCUGUCCAGAGUGCUGAUCCUGGAGCUGUCCCAGUGGAGUAAACUCACACACUGACGGAGAGGGGAAGUCCUCAUGUCCUUUUACAGCACAGGAGAUGUUGUCUCCAGGAUAAAAC